rnacentral:lncRNA from 1 species
GUCAGCCAUGACCGUCAGCUGACUUGGGAGUCUUCUAUACCAAAAGAUGGUUCAUCGUCUUAGGAAACACCCGAGUCCCUUCCCACGUCUCACCCUGCCUGCAACAAGAUACGACGCAGUUUCAUUCAAACUGUAUUCAUCAUUUAUUAAAGAAUAAAUUAAUUCUGUAUAACUUUUUUUUUUUCUAGAGAAUUUUACUAACCAACUUUAUUGUUCAACUGUAUCUCCUUAGUUAUAUUUUAAG